GAUGAACGCUAGCGGCAGGCUUAAUACAUGCAAGUCGAGGGACAGCACAGGUAGCAAUACUGGGUGGUAACCGGCAAACGGGUGCGGAACACGUACACAACCUUCCUUUAAGUGGGGGAUAGCCCAGAGAAAUUUGGAUUAAUACCCCGUAAUAUAGUUGAAUGGCAUCAUUUGAUUAUUAUAGCUACGGCGCUUUAUGAUGGGUGUGCGGCUGAUUAGAUAGUUGGCGGGGUAACGGCCCACCAAGUCUACGAUCAGUAGCUGAUGUGAGGGCAUGCUCAGCCACACGGGCACUGAGACACGGGCCCGACUCCUACGGGAGGCAGCAGUAAGGAAUAUUGGUCAAUGGACGCAAGUCUGAACCAGCCAUGCCGCGUGAAGGAUUAAGGUCCUCUGGAUUGUAAACUUCUUUUAUUUGGGACGAAAAAGGGCCUUUCUAGGUCAACUGACGGUACCAGAUGAAUAAGCACCGGCUAACUCCGUGCCAGCCGCCGCCGUAAUAC
rnacentral:rRNA from 1 species